UCAAAUUGUCAAUAACUAUCACUAUUAAUUUUCCCCCAAAUUUACAUACACGACAACAGUCUUGUUUUGUUUUACGUUUUAGAUAUUAGAACCUCAUUAUUGUUUUUUGGUCGCAGAGGUAAAAUUUAAGAAAAAAAAAAAAAAAAGGACCACACUUGCUUGGCUACGAGUCUAGUCGUUUCCCUACGGACUAAUCAGCAACGACUAUAGCCCCACUCACGGACUCACUCACACUUUCACUAGUGGCUCAAGACGCUAAUUCCUACGCGCACU
rnacentral:lncRNA from 1 species